CAGCAGUGGGGAAUAUUGCACAAUGGGGGAAACCCUGAUGCAGCGACGCCGCGUGGAGGAAGAAGGUCUUCGGAUUGUAAACUCCUGUUGUUGAGGAAGAUAAUGACGGUACUCAACAAGGAAGUGACGGCUAACUACGUGCCAGCAGCCGCGGUAAAACGUAGGUCACAAGCGUUGUCCGGAAUUACUGGGUGUAAAGGGAGCGCAGGCGGGAGAACAAGUUGGAAGUGAAAUCCAUGGGCUCAACCCAUGAACUGCUUUCAAAACUGUUUUUCUUGAGUAGUGCAGAGGUAGGCGGAAUUCCCGGUGUAGCGGUGGAAUGCGUAGAUAUCGGGAGGAACACCAGUGGCGAAGGCGGCCUACUGGGCACCAACUGACGCUGAGGCUCGAAAGUGUGGGUAGCAAACAGGAUUAGAUACCCUGGUAGUCCACACUGUAAACGAUGAUUACUAGGUGUUGGGGGAUUGACCCCCUCAGUGCCGCAGUUAACACAAUAAGUAAUCCACCUGGGGAGUACGACCGCAAGGUUGAAACUCAAAGGAAUUGACGGGGGCCCGCACAAGCAGUGGAGUAUGUGGUUUAAUUCGACGCAACGCGAAGAACCUUACCAAGUCUUGACAUCCUGCGACGCACAUAGAAAUAUGUGUUUCCUUCGGGACGCAGAGACAGGUGGUGCAUGGUUGUCGUCAGCUCGUGUCGUGAGAUGUUGGGUUAAGUCCCGCAACGAGCGCAACCCUUAUCAUUAGUUGCUACGCAAGAGCACUCUAAUGAGACUGCCGUUGACAAAACGGAGGAAGGUGGGGAUGACGUCAAAUCAUCAUGCCCUUUAUGACCUGGGCUACACACGUACUACAAUGGCGUUUAACAAAGAGAAGCAAAGCCGCGAGGCAGAGCAAAUCUCCAAAAAACGUCUCAGUUCGGAUUGUAGGCUGCAACUCGCCUACAUGAAGUCGGAAUUGCUAGUAAUCGUAGGUCAGCAUACUACGGUGAAUACGUUCCCGGGCCUUGUACACACCGCCCGUCAAACCAUGAGAGUUGGCAACACCCGAAGUCGGUAGUCUAACCGCAAGGAGGACGCCGCCGAAGGUGGGGUUGAUGAUUAGGGUUAAGUCGUAACAAGGUAGCCGUAUCGGAAGGUGCGGCUG
rnacentral:rRNA from 1 species